GGAGAUGUGAGUGGAAGGGCCGGGCCGGAAUGGCUGGAUGGAAGCGACCCCAAGCUUCUAGCCUUUUCCAGAAGUCCGUGUCAGGAGACCAGAGGCAGACACUAAUUUGGGGAGCCCAGACAUUGUGGGUGUUUGGAGGACAGCUUUGAGUCCCUGUGUUCAUCUUCUCCACCACCAAUUUUUAGAGAAGCUCAGGAGAUAUCAUUGGCUGCCUCCACGGGCCUCUCCGAGUGCCGUUGGACAGUGUCCAGCUCUGCCGGAACCAGAGAGGGUGCCACUGGUCUGCCAGGGAUGAAGUCAAGAUUGACAGGUGGCAGAGCUCCGGGCUGGGGCGACGGGCCCUGGCUGGACAGGACCCAGCUGUGACUCCUUGCUGGGUGCAGGACCU